UGCAUGAUGAUCAUCCAAGUACAAUCGCAUCUAUUUUUCUGAGCCGGACGUGAAUCGAGACUUGCUUCGUUCCUUGCAUUCACAUGUGAUGUGGACGUUUCUGA
rnacentral:snoRNA from 1 species